rnacentral:rRNA from 1 species
AUUGCACGCUGGCGGCCGGCCUAACACCUGCAAGUCGAACGAGUGGCUGACGGGUGUCUAAUGUCUUGGACACUGCCUGAUGGAGGGGGGUAACUACUGGAAACGGUAGCUACUACCGCCUACCCUCCGAUCUGACCAGAUGGGAUUAGCUAGUAGGUGCGGUCAAGGCUCACCUAGGCGACUAUCCCUAGCUGGUCUGAGAGUAUGACGUGCGACACUUGAACUGAGACUAGGUCAAGACUCCUACGGGAGUCAGCAGGUGGGAAUAUUGCAGUGUGGGCGCAAGCCUGAGACAUGCAUGCCGCGUGUGGUAAGAAGGCCUUCGGGUUUCAAAGCACUUUCAUUGGGGAGGCGUUAGCCUCAUAAGAAGCACCGGGUAACGCCGUGCCAGCAGCCGCGGUAAUAC